rnacentral:piRNA from 1 species
UAAGAGUGUAGUCUACAAUAGCAGGAACUA